UACGUAGGAGGCAAGCGUUGUCCGGAGUUACUGGGCGUAAAGCGCACGCAGGCGGUCGUGUCAGUCUGGGGUGACAGUUUCCGGCUUAACCGGAAAAGGACUCUGGAAACUGCACGACUUGAGGGCUUCAGAGGGUCGUGGAAUUCCCGGUGUAGAGGUGAAAUUCGUAGAUAUCGGGAGGAACACCAGUGGCGAAGGCGGCGACCUGGGCCAAUACUGACACUGAGGUGCGAAAGCGUGGGGAGCAAACAGG
rnacentral:rRNA from 1 species